rnacentral:misc_RNA from 1 species
UACCCUUGACAUGUACGGAACCCUGCUGAAAGGUGGGGGUGCUCGAAAGAGAGCCGUAACACAGGUGCUGCAUGGCUGUCGUCAGCUCGUGUCGUGAGAUGUUGGGUUAAGUCCCGCAACGAGCGCAACCCUUGUCAUUAGUUGCUACGAAAGGGCACUCUAAUGAGACUGCCGGUGACAAACCGGAGGAAGGUGGGGAUGACGUUUACGUGCAC